rnacentral:rRNA from 1 species
GACGAACGCUGGCGGCGUGCUUAACACAUGCAAGUCGAACGGAAAGGCCCUGCUUUUGUGGGGUGCUCGAGUGGCGAACGGGUGAGUAACACGUGAGUAACCUGCCCUUGACUUUGGGAUAACUUCAGGAAACUGGGGCUAAUACCGGAUAGGAGCUCCUGCUGCAUGGUGGGGGUUGGAAAGUUUCGGCGGUUGGGGAUGGACUCGCGGCUUAUCAGCUUGUUGGUGGGGUAGUGGCUUACCAAGGCUUUGACGGAUAGCCGGCCUGAGAGGGUGAACGGCCACAAUGGGACUGAGAUACGGCCCAGACUCCUAUGGGAGGCAGCAGUGGGGAAUAUUGCACAAUGGGCGGAAGCCUGAUGCAGCAACGCCGCGUGCGGGAUGAAGGCCUUCGGGUUGUAAACCGCUUUCGCCUGUGACGAAGCGUGAGUGACGGUAAUGGGUAAAGAAGCACCGGCUAACUACGUG